CCCCAUCUGACGUCAGCGGAGCGGAAUGCACAUGCGCUGCAGUGCUGCGUGCGCAUUCAAAGUGUCCAUAGGAAAGCAUUUUUUAAUUCUUUCCUAUGGACGCUCUGCGUGAUGGAGGCAUUAAAUGCCUCCAGCGUCGCAGAUGCACCUCUAGUGGCUGUCCGGAAGACAGCCACUAGAGGCUGGCUUAACCCCAAAUGUAAACAUAGCAGUUUCUCUGAAACUGCUAUGUUUACAGCAGGCAGGGUUAACCCUAGAGGGGCCUGGCACCCAGACCACUUCAUUGAGCU